rnacentral:lncRNA from 1 species
GAUAUAUGACUAUGGUUUUUAAGGAAUAUUUGAAAGCACUAUGACUUGGUAGCCAGAAUUGAAUCUCUGGUACAAGGAAGACAUACCUGAUUUGAGCUCCAUCACCUGAACAGAAAACAUUACCAAACACAAAAAACAAAUCAACCGCGAGAAAAUAUAACAGAAAUUACGACUAACCCUUUUGGCCGGUUGAUUAGCUCUUCCAUUUGCAGCUUUAGAAACAGUCCUCUCAGAAAACAAUCGAGCACGAAGGAACUCGAUGGUCAUUGCUGUUGAAUCACUCGUGAUGUCUAUCAGAGAAACCAAGAUUCUAAUUCCUGUGAAAUAUCUUUUUCCUGCACAAUCAGCAUAAGAUAAUCAGGGCAAGUAAAAUGGACAGCAGAGGAAAAGCAAUACUACCAAACAGUAGAAUCAAGCAAGCGCAACUGAUGAAAUCAACAGCUAACAUCUAAACCUAUCAUCCUGACUUGAGAUCACAAUAAACUUCCCUCCUUAUCAGCACAGUUCGAUUCACUCGAUCAGUACUAUUGGCUAGUCGGGUUGCUAAGAACUAUGUUAAAGGGAUGCAGAUCCGGCGCGUCUCCCGAACGAGAUCGAAGAACUAAACCCACAAGAAACACAGAAUCCAAGAACGCAAUGGAUUCAAACAAUCAUAAGAGCCAAAUCAUCCCAAGCGAUCAACCAAAGCCCUAGUCAGUUUGAGAGAGGAAAUCCCACUAGCCACUCGACGAACCAAUUCACAACAAGAAGAAUCAGCGUUGGGAAGGCAAAUAAACAAAUCAACAAUCAAACAAAAGAAAAGAUCGAGAUGUCCAUGUGUACCUUCGAUUUCUUCCCGCAGCUUCUCUGCUCUAUUUGUGAGUCGGUGGCGGACCAGAUAUAUUAAGUGGAUCGAAGAAUAAUCAAUGGCUUGUAUAGUGCCAUAAAAAUUCUCGGCAUUUCUUCUGAGUUUUUAUUUGGGCUUCUUUGAACUGCUCAGCUACAAGUUAUUAUUCGAUCUCGAUGAUGGUUCGAAUCCUCGCUACAACUACUUAUGUUCCAUCAAAUAUGUGGAAUGGCGAGAAAUAUUAGCAUUAAUCAGCAUUAGUAUCAUCAUGACCAAAUU